CCAGAUCCAUAUUUUCUGAAUUUUUAAAAUUAAAAAAAUCCUGAAAGGAUAGGGAGCACGUUAUUCCCUCUUCAGUCUCUCCGUUCUUUCACGCGACUUCCCUCUUCAACAACGCCACUCCCUUUAUCACGACGGAGGUGACGACCGGAGGACGGCGCUUCCUACUUCGUUUUCUGGCACGGUCCGAGUUCUCUCUUCACUCUUCAGUCAUCUCUCCCCCUUUUCCGGCACUGUCCGAGGCGGUCUCACUUCUCUCUCCCUUUUCCGACGAGGUCACCAUUGUUUUUUUGAUGGUGAGUAGAGUCAUCAGCUACUUGUAAUUCAUUGGUGUCUCUGGGUGAGCUUGGGCGAGGGACACUGCAACUUCUGAUGGGCAAGCCAUUGCGUAAGUGUCUAUUGGGAGAUUAGUUGGAUAUGUUUUUGUCCCUUAUGGUUUCAGUAUUCGUGAUUAAUUUUAUAGCUUCUGGUGAGACCGACACUGCAACUUCUGAUGGGCAAGCCAUUGCGGAUUCAGUAUUAGAACAUCUUGUGCGGAUGGUGCAGUGUCGCGGAUUGUUUUCUACCCACUAUCAUCGAUUAGCUGUUGAUUAUCUCAAAGAUCCAAAAGUAUUACCAGUUUUUUAUCCGGUGUAAUCAUCAGUG